UUUUCUAGUCUGCAAAAUUUUAUUAAGCAACAGCUGGACAACUCUUACAACUCCAAAUCAUCAAGGAAAAAUAGGGCAAUCAGUCCAUCUCUCAAUCAUGUAGACAGUAAAGAAUCUGGACAAACCACAUUUUUAUAGGGAAACCAACAACGCUUUCUAGGCACCUCCUGCAAAAUCUAUUACACAAAAUACAUAAAAGGAGAGGCAGAUCAGGGUAGUUUGUAAGUACAAUGGAAACCAAGUAUGCCAUGGUAUACUGAGGAGAGAAAAAUACCCAACAAAAAACCAAAAACCAAAUAACUUGAGAUUCCAAAAAAUGUAUUUAAAAAAUAGGAAAGGUAUGUAAAAGUACACAAACUGUGUACCAAAUUUUCAACAGCCUGGAGAAAACACAUGCUGGGCUUGCUGGCUUAAGAACACAUGCACCUGCAUGACUAUACGCUCAUUAAAUUAAUGUUAAAAAAACAAAAAAAACAACCAAAAAAAAGAAAAAAAAAAGAAAAAAAUUAAAUCCCAAAUCAUGUUCAAAGUUAUAGUACCAGAAUAAUGCAUUUAGAAACAAAUGCAACUCCCCUUCUUUUUCAGGAAACACUACAGUGCCUUUUCAAUCAAACGCAUCCCCAUGCUAUUCCACAACACCAUAUAUUGUAUCUACAAUAAACAACGAGAUCUUGAACAGACAUACCCUUCCCCAAACGCACAACACAGAAAGAAACAAAAGCACUGAAUGCAGAAAUGGUGAAACAAAAGGCAACCAAAGGCAAAACAUGUAUCAAGCAAACACAAGAACCAAAUGGAAAAUUAGGAGAGUUGUGAACAAAUAGCUUGAAACAACCUAAGUAGGAAUUACAGGCCGAGCACUAUGCCAAUAAAAUACUUGAAAUCGGGUUGCUGAACAUUGUUCAAAAAUGUUUCUAUUAUUCCUUUAAUCUUAAUCCAUGAUUUAAACCAUUUACUUGGCCACUAAGACAAACAGUCCACAUACAGACAGUAUUUGUCAGGAUUCCAAAUUGCUGAAUCAGACCCUAUCUUUAAAUUUGUAACAACGUAAACUGGAGGGCAAGCAUUAAGCAUAAACUGGCAUGCUUUAACGUUAUACCAUCUAAUUGUUUCAUUGAAUGCUCUGGAUAGAUAAGUAUUUGGUAUUUUCAUUUAUUUAGUUUUAAGUCUCACACAAUCAUGUUGUUUUGAUGCUGCAGUCAGCUCUGGAUCAGCAAACCUCAGCACUGGCAUAGUUUUCCACAACAAUCAAUUUGCCUUGAAGCACAAAUUUCUCAUUAUAGAUCAGUCUGCAAAAUCAAAAGUUGAAGGAUGAAGUUUUUAAUUUUCUUAGCAAGAAUUGCUUCGCUGAAUCCUAUUUCGUUCUUUUAUUUGGUUAAUUGCUUUUGUCUUAAAAAUCUCAUUUUCUAGAUGCAGCAGCAAUCAAAAUGCCCAAAGGAAUUACCUCCUGAUACAUCUUCAGAGAUAUCAGGCAACAUACAAAGCUGAGCCUUUUAAUCUUAGAACUUCUCUGCAGGAUUUUUUCAGAAGAAAAUUAAAUAAAUACAAAGAUAAAGUAAUUCCCAUAGCUCAUGGUUCACAAGUAGUAAUUAAUCUUAUUCCUUGAAGAAUGGUGCAUGUAAAUUCCAGUCCUGCAAAGAGGACCUGUGGUGCCCACCUGCAGACUACUCCUGAGGGUAGCAGGACUCUAAAUUGGUAUUUGCUGAUGGAGGAUUGUGCUUGCCUUGAAGGUGAAGGGACUUGAAAAUGGGAAAAUUAAUUUACCAGAAUUUUUCCAUUUCUGUCAGCAGUAUAAGAACAUUUGCUCUCUUAUGCCAGGAAAUCUAUUAUAUCAAUCUGUAAAUAACAAAACCACCUUGCUCUCCUUGAUGGAAUCCUAGAAACAGGAAUAAAAACCAAAAAUCUAGCAUUCUUCAAGGGGGGUUAUACAGAACUGUCAACUGUUGUUGGUUAAUGCUUUAUAAUUUUCUUAAAUGGAUAUAUGGGUCAUAUAAGUCGUUCUUUAUAAUCACACAGUAAUGGGAAAGUAUAUUUUGGGUCAGAUUCUACUCUCUUAUGUAUCUUGACGUAACCAUGUAGUGAGCCUAGAAGUCGGCCCUCUGUCAGCAUGCCAUGCAAGUGACCCAUGUGUUACUGAUCUCCAAGUCAGAUUUGCUGGUCUGGAGUGGUUUGGGCUCUCCAGACAUGUGCAAUUUCCAACAUGUUGCUCUGGGAAACACAUUCUUAAAAGCUAAAGAAAAGCCAGUGAAAACUUACUCUGUCUUCUCUCCCUUUUCUCUCAAUCAAAUCAGUUUUCGCAUGUGCUGUGUUCUUCAUACAAGGAUUUAAACUGUUUCUGACAGGUAACAGGGCACUAAGAUAACAUAGGAUCACAGACAUCAGGCUGCAAAAAGCAAAUGCACAGAAACUGUCUAAGGCAACGAUCACGCAAGCUCCAAAAUCUGUCUGGAAUUCAUGAGAGGACAUUAAAAAGACACAUCACGCAAAGCCUGGACCUACAGAAAGUCUAGGCUUAAGGCUCAUCAAAGAUCUUUGUCUGACGCCUGUAGACUUUCAUGCAUCUUCAUAAAAACAAUGGAACAAAACUGAAGAGAGAAACGUGGAACUGUUUUACUUGUGGUUGCAUCACAGAAAGUUUAUUUAACUGAUAUGAAGCAUUGUGCAGAUUUACUGGGCAGCCCAUGGCACAUAUCACUGCUACCUCUGGAACUGAGUGCAAAAUUACCAAUGUAAUAAUUCAUCUUUUUCCUCUUUCACACCCCUCCCUCUAACCGUUUCUUACCAUGUUGCAGAAACAUGAUAUUCUCGCUGUUUCAAGCUAAAAUUUGCCACUCCAUGCACGGUGCGCUUCAUACCAGACUUCAAUUAUCAAUUUUUAGACUUUGCUGGAAGCUCCCGAGUGAAUUAAGUUAGAAAUAAAGGAGGAAAGCAGUGGAGAAGGACAAAUUUCUGCAGGUCCCAAAGAAGUCAUCUACACUCUUUGUAGUCUACACAGUCCUCCACAGCAAACUCACUGUGUUCAGCUGCCCAACAGAUAUUUUGCCUGCCUGCAUUAUGAAAACUGUGCACACUAUCCAGCAAAACCAGGUCUUCCUAUACGCAAACAUCCCUGCUCAGCCAAGCAAUUACUUCAAAGAUGGCUUUAAAUAUAAAUAAGAAAGUGUGUAUAACUCACUGAUACAUAGUAAUAAAAUAAUCCCUAAAUCACUUAUUACAUUACGCAAGAUAAAUAAUUUGUCUUUUGGACAUCAACAGGAAAUCUGCAUUAAAUUAUCUUAAAAAAAACCCACUAAAAAUCCCUAAAAAACCCCAAAACCUAAACCAACCAACCAAAAACCAAAAAAACACAACAACAACAAAAAAAAAAGUAAAACCGCCCUCGACUGUCACAAUUAUUGCACAACUGAAAAAAAGCUUUGGAAAAACCAUACUUAACUACUGGGGAUUACUGUAACGUAGAAAAGUAACUAGACAUUUUCUGAACACUGCUACAUUCUUCCUAGACGAACUUAGUUAUCCGCAGAAAACCAGGGAUUUACGAAUAGACAGAAAAUGUAACAUCUCUCUUUUGGCUGAAUGCAAUAGCAAUCUUCAGGAGUUAAGUGAUUAUUUGGAAGAGGCUUUUAGAUUUGUUUCCUAUAUAGGAAUAUCUUCCUCUAUAUUCUAUAUUCUAUAUAUCUCAAUGAAAAUAAGAGAACUGUCACUUUCACUUGUUUUUGUAUAAUUCAGGAUCCAGUUGCACAGCCAGAUAUUUGCAUAAUUCCCAUUCCUUUCAUUAAAAUUCUAUAUAUUUGACAGUGUAUAUCUCUCUACAUACGGGCUAUUCUCUAUGCAUUAAAAUCCUCCAUUAAAGGGACUCUGUUACAUUAAUUUUCAAAAAGAGACAGAUUAUCCUUAAUCCUAUAAGGCAUUUUCUGAAAUGGGGAAGGAUGUUGGGAAAAUUGCAAUUUAUUUCCAAAAUUUUUGAUACUUAUUCCUUGUGCUUUGCUGGGGCAGAAAUGAGGUCUCUUCUUAUGCCAAAAGGCUCCUUUAAAGUGCAUCCAGGAAGGACACACCCAUGACCCCUGGGCGCAGGAAACGCAAAUUACUACUCUAGGCUAACUUUUGUAUGAGUUUCCAUUUCUCCAAUUCUCAUUAGGCAUAAAACUGCUGAUAACUGGAAAAAUUUGGAAUGAACCAGGUGAAGAGGAAUACUGUUCCCUGGAAGGUUAAAGAAACCACAUGGAGGAGUCCUUCUAUUUAGAUUAGAUUUUGUUCAGAAAAAAAAUCCCAUUCAUGUUGGUUCCAUGUAUUAACAAUUUUGGCUUAAAACUACAGGUGAUGUUUCUUUCAGCUGAAGAUUUCUGACACAUGACUUAGUGGCCCUUCCCUCAGCAAGCAAGCCAGCCAUGGUAUGUUUCUUCUCUUACGGUGUUCAGUGCCUACCUGUUAGACUCUAAUAAGAGUAUGACUGGUUAGCACGGCCCUUAGGGCAGAUGAGGAUUCUCAUCAGACAACUUUCCUCCUUGUGUACUGACUGGAUUCAGUGGACUGAGAAUUCAACCUACUGUUUGUACAGCAUGUAACUCAAUACAAAGGGCUUAAUAGUGCUUCAUCCACAAAAAUACAGGGGAAACACUUCCACUGAUUUUAAAGGGAGUGGAACCAAACCCAUUUCGGUUCC
ensembl:lncRNA